rnacentral:snoRNA from 1 species
AAUCCAUGGUUGGGAUAUUUCCUCAACAACAUCUAGAAACAUUCGCAAGCCUCAUAGAAUGCUUCUUCUGUACUUUGUCUAAAUGUUGAGAUCUCAAAAUUGGUGU